rnacentral:rRNA from 1 species
UAUCUCGGCUCUUGCAUCGAUGAAGAACGUAGCGAAAUGCGAUACUUGGUGUGAAUUGCAGAAUCCCGUGAACCAUCGAGUCUUUGAACGCAAGUUGCGCCUGAAGCCAUUAGGCCGAAGGCACGUCUGCCUGGGCGUCACGCAUUGCGUCACCCACUCCCCCGUGCCUAAGCGGGCAUG